rnacentral:rRNA from 1 species
GGCUUCUUUGCUGACGAGUGGCGGACGGGUGAGUAAUGUCUGGGAAACUGCCUGAUGGAGGGGGAUAACUACUGGAAACGGUAGCUAAUACCGCAUAACGUCGCAAGACCAAAGAGGGGGACCUUCGGGCCUCUUGCCAUCGGAUGUGCCCAGAUGGGAUUAGCUAGUAGGUGGGGUAAAGGCUCACCUAGGCGACGAUCCCUAGCUGGUCUGAGAGGAUGACCAGCCACACUGGAACUGAGACACGGUCCAGACUCCUACGGGAGGCAGCAGUGGGGAAUAUUGCACAAUGGGCGCAAGCCUGAUGCAGCCAUGCCGCGUGUAUGAAGAAGGCCUUCGGGUUGUAAAGUACUUUCAGCGGGGAGGAAGGGAGUAAAGUUAAUACCUUUGCUCAUUGACGUUACCCGCAGAAGAAGCACCGGCUAACUCCGUGCCAGCAGCCGCGGUAAUACGGAGGGUGCAAGCGUAAUCGG